GACUAGGAGGCCAUCAGCUAGGUACGGCGGAAAUCACUGGGCUUAAAGCGUGUGUAGGCGGAUCGUUAAGUGUCUUGUGAAAUCCCACGGCUCACCCGUGGAACUGCUGGGCAUACUGGCGAUCUUGGGCCAACUAGGGGCAACUGGAACAAGCGGUGGAGCGGUGAAAUGCGUAGAUAUCGCUUGGAACGCCAAAGGUGAAAACAGGUUGCUGGGGUUGUGCCGACGCUGAGACACGAAAGCCCAGGGGAGCAAACGGG
rnacentral:rRNA from 1 species